rnacentral:rRNA from 1 species
AGGCCAAGCAAUCAGAAGAAGGUUUUUUGCGAAAGAUUAUGUUUAGUUUUGAGCGUAGUAGCUCAAAAGAG